CAUUUUCUCAAACAGGGUAUGGUACUUGGUUCCUCGAAUAACUUCUGGCACAGACAUCUGAGGGCAUGACCGUCCAAGAAGAAAAUGUAGCCAUUGGUGUCAUCUAUUGACCACAAGUUAAAGUUUGGCGAUCCGUUAGAUACCGACCGAGUUAUAGGCAAAACUUGGUGCAAAAAUGAAGAAAAUUUUACAUUUUCUCAAACAGGGUAUGGAACUUGGUUCCUCGAAUAACUUCUGGCACAGACAUCUAAGGGCAUGGCUGUCCAAGAAGAAAAUGUAGCCAUUGGUGCCAUCUAUCGACCACAGGUUAAAGUUUGGCGAUCCGUUAGAUACCGACCGAGUUAUAGGCAAAACUUGGUGCAAAAAUGAAGAAAAUUUUACAUUUUCUCAAACAGGGUAUGGAACUUGGUUCCUCGAAUAACUUCUGGCACAGACAUCUAAGGGCAUGGCUGUCCAAGAAGAAAAUGUAGCCAUUGGUGCCAUCUAUCGACCACAGGUUAAAGUUUGGCGAUUCGUUGGAUAUCGACCGAGUUAUAGGCAAAACUUGGUGCAAA